CAACUCAGCCCAAGACACAGUGAAGGAAGAUCCCAAGAGGAGAUGGGUGAGGUUGUCAGAUAAACCUGCUCCUGCAACAGUAAAAACGAAAACAAAAAAGGCAGUGGGAAAGGAUAAACCUUCAGACCAAAAAAGGCAAACAAAGGGGAAAAAGAAGAGGAAAGGGAAAACAGGCCAAAAUGGCUAACCAGGAAACUCAAGAAGAUUUACCUACAGAAAAUGGAGAAACUGAAAAUGGGGACAGUCCAGCCUCUGAUGAACCUGGAGACAAAGAAGCCAAGUC
rnacentral:lncRNA from 1 species